GAUGAACGCUGGCGGCGUGCCUAAUACAUGCAAGUCGAGCGAACGGACGAGAAGCUUGCUUCUCUGAUGUUAGCGGCGGACGGGUGAGUAACACGUGGAUAACCUACCUAUAAGACUGGGAUAACUUCGGGAAACCGGAGCUAAUACCGGAUAAUAUUUUGAACCGCAUGGUUCAAAAGUGAAAGACGGUCUUGCUGUCACUUAUAGAUGGAUCCGCGCUGCAUUAGCUAGUUGGUAAGGUAACGGCUUACCAAGGCAACGAUGCAUAGCCGACCUGAGAGGGUGAUCGGCCACACUGGAACUGAGACACGGUCCAGACUCCUACGGGAGGCAGCAGUAGGGAAUCUUCCGCAAAGGGCGAAAGCCUGACGGAGCAACGCCGCGUGAGUGAUGAAGGUCUUCGGAUCGUAAAACUCUGUUAUUAGGGAAGAACAUAUGUGUAAGUAACUGUGCACAUCUUGACGGUACCUGACCAGAAAGCCACGGCUAACUACGUG
rnacentral:rRNA from 1 species